UUAAACAUAAAUUCAUUUUAAUUUCCCUCUGAAUGAAUGAAAUUUCAAUCCCCGCUCAAAAUCUCUAUCGCAUUCAAAUCUUUCCCCAAAAUAUCCAUAUGAUCCCAAUUUCUAACCCUAACUGUGACCUAAGCAAAUUUCAAUCUUAAUUUUUUCUUAGUAUUGAAAGGGGCUGCGGUUGAUGGUGGUCAUGGAGGAGCAAGGCAGAUAUAAUAUAACCAACCACUCAUUGACUGUGUUUUCUAAUGUGAUGGGUGGAAUAAAGGUACAAGAAUGAGAAUCCCGACAUCAUAUUGCGAGGUAAUGAAUCAUAAAUGUCUAAAUUAUGCACAAUAGAUGAUGCUUUUCUAGCAGAAUCGAACCAUAAAAAAUCCCAAAUUCACCACAAAAGGUGAUGUCCUUUUCUAGCGUUUAUUGAUCGGAUGGCACGUGUUUGGAUAUAACAAAGUGAGUAUAUACUAUUUGAACCUCGGGUUUGUGAAAAUGCUGGUAUACUAAAUCUAAUGACUCAUAAUAUGUUAAAUCCUAUUUCAUGCCCACAAGGUGUUUGUGAAAAUGCCACAAUCAUAAUAUAGUUCUUGAUUUGUUUAGUAACUAGAAGCUCAAAAUAAGUCAAGCAUAAACGAGCUCGCGCCCAUACCAAAAUUUGAGCCCAUCAAAUUAGUGCACUCGAUUCCGAGCUUCAUAUUUUGAGCUUGACUAUCGACAUUUCUGUCAUGAACAAGCCUUUUAUUUCAAGCUAAUUGGCCAUUGGGGUAACUGGUAACAAGAGGCAUUAGAAAGGUGAACCAACAUUCUAGUUAAGACGCUCUCAUAUGUAGUCAUAAUUGCUAGAUAAACACACUUUGUGCUUAUAUUAGUUAUAUGGUAGGGGUGUUAACAGGCCGAGCCAAGCCCGAGUUCAACCAAGCUUGAUCUCAGCUUAGUUUCCAUUUCUAAAGCUCGGGCUCGGCUCAUCUUAUCAUCUGAUUUAUAUACUGGUAUAACUAUUUUAAUACAUAUCUAUAAUUAUAAUGUGUGUGUGUAUAUAACAUAUGGUAUACUAUUUAGUUUUUUUAUCGUAAUUUUAUUAUAAUGAAUUAUAUAAAUACCAGGCUUACGGCUUACCGACCCUUCUCAAGCUCGAUACAUGAAGCUUUGACUCGGGCUUGUUUUUUAAACAAGCUUAUUUUUAGGCUCAAACCUGGCUCAAUGACUGUUAAUCAUUUGAGGGCUAGAUAGGAGGGGUGUUCAAAAACAGUUGAAUUAAACUGUAUCACCCAAAUCAAAGCAAGUCAACCGGGUAGAGAUCCCAACGGUUUGUUUUCAUGGUUUGCCGGUCUGGUGGUUUUGAUGGUUCGACCCAAUUUGAAACUUGGAACCAGCCGUUUAAGCUUUGUUAUUCUUUUUCUUUUUUUGGAAUAUGUAGUUAUGUAUAUGUAUUAUCACCAUGAAUCAUCUUUUGUUAUUUUAAAUAUUUUUAUACAAGCUAAUGAUUUAAAGAAAAAAAAAUCUUUUAAACCGUCAAAACCGAACCAGUAUACCGACAAACUGGACGGUUUAGCUCAAUCAGGCCGGUUUGGUUUGUUGUUUCUCAAAACCGUAGCUAGUGGUAUGGUCUAGAAUUUCAUAAAAACCAGUUGAACCAGACGAUGAACACCCCUACUAGACAGGUCAACUUGUUUAGCUCAGCUUUAACCAUAAAGACCUUUGAAGAUCUAAAUUAUCUCCCAAGAAACCUUACUUCCAAGUAAUAUUCAAUUGACAAAAUUAAGAAUGGUGUUUUUAUUUACGUAGAAUUGCUAUCACAAAUGUAGUGUGUAGAUGAUAAUUAAAAAUAGUAAAGAACUUACCUUGUUGUAGGUUCUUCUACUAGAUGCCUUUUACUUCAAAGUGAAACAUGGUUUUAUAUAGGAACACACACAUACAGGUGGUUAUGAUGAAGAGAAUAAAUUACAUGGAAUUUGUCUUUUAUUACUUAAUUUGUCUUUGGAUCAUGUAGAAAUAGGUUGUUGUUGUGACAUGGAAUCGAAUUCUGGUUCGGAUCGUGAUGAAGACGAGAACAAAUCACAAAGAGAUUUUGAAGAAACCAUUGGGUGUUGGCAGUACUAAACCUGAAAACAACUACUUGCUAUUAUCUUGAUUCCUUACGGCCUAGAAGUGUCGAUGAGCAGUUGAGGCAAAUUAUUGAUACGGCAACGGCCGUGUAUGCUUCAGAAAGUGGUGCCAACAUAAGGGUUAAACUCGUAUGGAUUAACGCUAGGUGUCCACGUCAGCCAGGAGGUACUUAAUGCGGCUACUAUGUGAUGAAGUUCAUGAAGGAGAUAGCUUACGAAGGAGUUGAAAUACUUGACAAUGAUAACGUUGGGAAAGGAGUAGAAAAAUACUCGGCUGCGGAUAUAGAUGACAUUCGUGAAGAUUGGUCGACUUAUGCGGUUAACUCUAUUUUUAAGUUAUAAAUCGUAUUUUAGGUGUUGAUAAUGUAUUGACAAACAAUUCUUUUUUUGUUAACGUUAAAAUAUUUGUAGUAUACUUGACAAAUGAUUAUGUAAUGGAUUGUUUUGGUAUAUAUAUAUGUGUAUUUGUUU